AAAUUCAUUGAGAGGACCUUUCCCCUGUAUGAGAGGACCGGGAAGGACGCACCUCUGGUGUACCAGUUAUCAUACCCAUGAUAAACAUUGGGUAGCCAAGUGCGGAGCGGAUAAUUGGUAAGCCCACCCCAAGAUGAGGGCUUUCCUAUUCCUACUUCCUCAAAGCCUCUGGUAGCAUGGACGGUACAGUGACGGGUUCUCUAUCCCUGUGGGGAUGGAGCGACAAAAGUAUUGAGAAUUCAGGAUAAGGUCAUGGUGAGGCGAGCUAUUUAUCAUCACAAUAGGUGUCAAGUGGAAGUGUACUGAUGUAUGCAGCUGAGGCAUCCUAACAGACCAA
rnacentral:ncRNA from 1 species